rnacentral:rRNA from 1 species
CAGGAUGAACGCUAGCGACAGGCCUAACACAUGCAAGUCGAGGGGCAGCACAAGGAGCAAUCUGAGGUGGCGACCGGCGCACGGGUGAGUAACACGUAUGCAACCUGCCUGUAAGCGGGGAAUAACCCGUUGAAAGACGGACUAAUACCGCAUAAUACUAAAUUACUGCAUGGUAAUUUAUUUAAACAUUUAUGGCUUACAGAUGGGCAUGCGCAUGAUUAGCUAGUUGGAGAGGUAACGGCUCCCCAAGGCAACGAUCAUUAGGGGUUCUGAGAGGAAGGUCCCCCCACACUGGUACUGAGACCCGGACCAGACUCCUACGGGAGGCAGCAGUGAGGAAUAUUGGUCAAUGGACGAGAGUCUGAACCAGCCAAGUCGCGUGCAGGAAGAAUGUUCCCUAUGGAUUGUAAACUGCUUUUGCAGGGGAAUAAAGUGCAUCACGUGUGAUGUUUUGUAUGUACUCUGCGAAUAAGGAUCGGCUAACUCCGUGCCAGCCGCGGC